ACGUUACCCCAUGCCGAACUCAGAAGUGAAACGCCGUAGCGCCGAUGGUAGUGUGGGGUCUCCCCAUGUGAGAGUAGGGAACUGCCA
rnacentral:rRNA from 1 species